CACAUUCCUCACAAACCUUUAAAACCCCUCACCUCCCCUCUUUCGGGGAGAUGAGAUGAAAUGAGACAAAUUUGAGGGCUCACUCUCAUCUUCUGCUGAUAUUACCCCAAACAAAAACCCUUUCCUUGCUGUAAGCCUGGCAUUCCGGUUGUUAUUUGGCCCCUCUUGUGUGGUGCGUAAAGAACCUAUGUUUGUAGGCGGUAACAAUCUGGCGAACCAGCCAGGAGAUUCUUGCCCGUGGCUCUGUGGCCCCAGGCUGACUGGGAUUUCCUGGGAAGCAGUCCAGCAGCUGCCUGGGUGAUUUGCCUUAGGGACUGUCCCAGUACUUUCCGUCUGGCCGGGCAUGGCUGACCCUAGGCACAUUUUCUUAUGGCAAGGAAACAGGUUCUAGAUUUGUUUGUCUAUUCUUCAUGCUGGGGAGUCAACGGACUCUGAAAUAGAGAGACAAUUGGAAACACUGGUUAUAUCACCGAGGCUUUGACUGGAAUGUCAUAUUUGAGAGAAACAUACAGACUUGGAUAUGACAAGACAGAUUUUGAGGAAUAAAGAUUGUCUUUCUGGAAUAAAAAGUCUCUUGGAAAUAUUGGCCUGGUACCUUGCUUAUGGGUUCCCAGUGACCUGGAAAGGUUGACUAAAGAAUGUAACUCCCUCCAGCAGGUACAAGGAACCUCAAUAUUUUAGGGACCUCGUGAAGAGAAGAAUUCACCCAAAUCUGUAGGUAUUGCAGACUGAAUCUAAUGACAAGCUCUUGGUCUGGCUUUGCUGGCCUCAAGAGGCCUUUAAAGUUCAAUCUGAGAUUCCUUGUAAAAAGUUCCCGCAAAGCAGAUUUAAAAGAAUGUAUAUGAUCAAUUGCUAUUCUUAUUGUACUUAUGUAAAUAAUUGGGACAAAUUUACUAAAACUAAAUUUAUUUUACAACCAGUUAGUCUUAAUUUGGCUAUGUUUGGUAAAAUUGAGGCUGCUUUUAGAGAGAAAAAUUAUGUUUCAAUAAAGACUAUAAUACACAUUCAUGGAUAUUAGAUUCUAGUUCCAUUACUUGUCUUUGUGGUUUUUGUUUUAUAUCUGUGAACUGUACUGGAUCCUGAAUUCUUCUAGUCUUCUGAAAUAACAAAUCUCCAAACUAACAUUUUCCAUUCUUUUCCCAUGAUUUUCAUUUGGAAUCCUUGAGAACUGAACCUACCCUUUUUCCUAAAAACUGAAGCUGGA
rnacentral:lncRNA from 1 species